GUAGUUAGCCGGGGCUUUCUUGCAGGGUACCGUCACUUCUUCGUCCCCUGCGACAGAGGUUUACAAUCCGAAAACCUUCUUCCCUCACGCGGCGUUGCUGGGUCAGGCUUUCGCCCAUUGCCCAAUAUUCCCCACUGCUGCCUCCCGUAGGAGUCUGGACCGUUUCUCAGUUCCAGUGUGGCCGAUCAGCCUCUCAGCUCGGCUACCCAUCGUCGGCUUGGUGGGCCGUUACCUCACCAACUACCUAAUGGGACGCGAACCCCUCUUGAAGCAAUGAAUCUUUGACCUCAUCCCGAUGCCGGGUCGUGGUCUCAUGCGGUAUUAGCAUCUGUUUCCAAAUGUUAUCCCCCACUCCAAGGCAGGUUGUUCACGCGUUACUCACCCGUUCGCCACUAGCUUGUCCCCGAAGGCACAAGCCCGUUCGACUUGCAUGUGUUAGGCACGCCGCCAGCGUUCGUCCUGAGCCAUGAUCAAACUCUGA
rnacentral:rRNA from 1 species